GACGAACGCUGGCGGCGUGCUUAACACAUGCAAGUCGAACGGAAAGGCCCUGCUUUUGUGGGGUGCUCGAGUGGCGAACGGGUGAGUAACACGUGAGUAACCUGCCCUUGACUUUGGGAUAACUUCAGGAAACUGGGGCUAAUACCGGAUAGGAGCUCCUGCUGCAUGGUGGGGGUUGGAAAGUUUCGGCGGUUGGGGAUGGACUCGCGGCUUAUCAGCUUGUUGGUGGGGUAGUGGCUUACCAAGGCUUUGACGGGUAGCCGGCCUGAGAGGGUGACCGGCCACAAUGGGACUGAGUUACGGCCCAGACGCCUACGGGAGGCAGCAGUGGGGAAUAUUGCACAAUGGGCGGAAGCCUGAUGCAGCAACGCCGCGUGCGGGAUGACGGCCUUCGGGUUGUAAACCGCUUUCGCCUUUGACGAAGCGUGAGUGACGGUAAUGGGUAAAUAAGCACCGGCUAGCUACGUG
rnacentral:rRNA from 1 species